GCCACCAGCCUUAGUUCAUCAUAAAAUAUGCAGAAAAUCACAAAACUGUAAACAACCUUUUCUUUGUUUUUCUUUUAGGAAAGAAAGCUGAAAAUGCUUCACAACCUAAACGGAACAAUUUUUCACUUUUUCUCUAUCCCUCUAUUCUACCAAUACCCAACAUGAGGUGAAAACCAGGAUUACAGAUCCAGGGAAAAAAAAGGACAAAGAAAU
rnacentral:misc_RNA from 1 species